CCUACGGGGGGCUGCAGUGGGGAAUAUUGGACAAUGGGGGAAACCCUGAUCCAGCAAUGCCGCGUGUGUGAAGAAGGCCUGCGGGUUGUAAAGUACUUUCGGUUGGGAAGAAAAGUUUGGCGCCAAUACCGCCGAACCUUGACGUUACUGACAGAAGAAGCACCGGCUAACUCUGUGCCAGCAGCCGCGGUAAUACAGAGGGUGCAAGCGGUAAUCGAGCGCACUGAGGUGAACAUGUAAGUAGGGGGUCAAAUCCCCGGGCUUAACCUGGGAACUGCAUUCGAUACUACAUGGCUAGAGUAUGGUAGAGGGAAGUGGAAUUUCCGGUGUAGCGGUGAAAUGCGUAGAUAUCGGAAGGAACACCAAUGGCGAAGGCAGCUUCCUGGACUAAUACUGACACUGAGGCACGAAAGCGUGGGUAGCAAACAGGAUUAGAUACCCCUGUAGUC
rnacentral:rRNA from 1 species